AAGAAAAUGGAAGCAGGAAAGGAGUUUGGCAGUGGAGUUAUGUGGCCAGUGACAGAGCAAAAGAAGUGCAGUUCUGCCUGUUGUUAAGCCAUUCUUACAACUCCAAGGAAAUCUAAGGCUUACACAGUCUGUCACGGUGGAAAAUAUCUCCUAGCAUCAAGGGAAGACUUACUUGAAGAAUCACAAGAUGCUUCUAUCAUGUGCUAUACAGCCAAGCUGGAUGUGAACUUGCAUGAGAAAUUUCACAGCUUGGUUUACAAAUAUUCAGAAGGAAAGAUGUGAGCAGGAACCAGAAGAUGUAAGCUGUUGGAUGUAGCCUUUCCAGGCUGUAGCUGGCAGGUCCAGCAUCUCUGCUGAAGCUUCCCAUGGCACCUUGGCCAAGACAAGCAGAAGCACAACCCAUAGCCAGUGGGACACUGCCGUGCAUAAAUACCCAAGUACCUUGCCAGAAGCUAAGUAGAAAAUAAAAUUUUGGUGCAGAUGAUACUUGAAAAAUUGAGAAAUAGAUAUAGAAUACAGGAAGGAGAACAGAACAAAGCUGGGGGAAGUAAGGAAUAUAAAAGGAAAGGAAGUUGGUAAAGGAGGGAAAAAGGAAGUAUGGAAGAUUUAAUCCAGUCAAUUAGCAUUCAGUUCAAGGGCUUUGAACAGGACAUGCUCAUAGCACCACAGAGAAUAGCAGUGCACCAUAAAGAAUAAGGAUUUUCUAGCAUGUGAUAUAGAUCCAUUGUUAAUAAAGCUGAUGAGGAAUUUGCAAGGAAAGAAUAUCACAGGCUGUUAUCUGACAGAACUACAAUGUGUCUACUGAGAAAUCUAACCCAGCAGCAGUGUCAAAGAGAAUGACUGGCUGAGAUAAAAAACGUUAAGAUUUUGAAACCUAAUAAGGGAUUUGAAGUGAUGCAAUAUGAGGUCUCUUAAAAUUUAUAAAUACAAUAUUGUAUCAAACCUACUGUUGAAAAUAGUUAAGCAUGUGAACAUCAAACCCAAUAAAAUGCAUAGUGAUCCCUUUCUGUUGCUCUGAUCACUUUCCUCUGCUUCUUUGGCCCACUGUGGCCCAGGUUUGGUAAAUUCUAAGUCAGGCUGGACUGUCAAACCCAUUCUUCAAACCAGGCCAAUGGAAAAGGGAAGUACUUGUUGCAGAGGAUUUCAGGACAGGCUGUUAUUUGGUCCUAAACUACAAUUAAAACUUUAUGUUGCCUCAUCUGUCUUACAGAUGCCUGGUCUUUGUCUAAUCCAAGCUGUAGAACUUGACCCUAGGGAAGCUGUGUUUGAACAAUAAAGAUAUUCAAGUCAGCCAGAUCUUG
rnacentral:lncRNA from 7 species